rnacentral:rRNA from 1 species
GCGGUAACAGAUCUAGCUUGCUAGAUGCUGACGAGCGGCGGACGGGUGAGUAAUGCAUAGGAAUCUGCCCGGUAGUGGGGGAUAACCUGGGGAAACCCAGGCUAAUACCGCACACGUCCUACGGGAGAAAGGGGGCCCCGGCUCCCGCUAUUGGAUGAGCCUAUGUCGGAUUAGCUAGUUGGUGAGGUAAUGGCUCACCAAGGCAACGAUCCGUAGCUGGUCUGAGAGGAUGAUCAGCCACAUCGGGACUGAGACACGGCCCGAACUCCUACGGGAGGCAGCAGUGGGGAAUAUUGGACAAUGGGGGGAACCCUGAUCCAGCCAUGCCGCGUGUGUGAAGAAGGCCCUCGGGUUGUAAAGCACUUUCAGCGAGGAAGAACGCCUAGUGGUUAAUACCCAUUAGGAAAGACAUCACUCGCAGAAGAAGCACCGGCUAACUCCGUGCCAGCAGCCGCGGUAAUACGGAGGGUGCAAGCGUUAAUCGGAAUUACUGGGCGUAAAGCGCGCGUAGGUGGCUUGAUAAGCCGGUUGUGAAAGCCCCGGGCUCAACCUGGGAACGGCAUCCGGAACCGUCAGGCUAUAGUGCA